CGCCCUCUAUUGGCCAAACGCUUGCUGUUACGAGCAGAGGCGGCAACAUUGGAGUCAUCACACUCUGGAUUUCAAGUUAACAAUUAAUGUAACAAUUAUCACUGUGAAAGUGACAAUUGUUGAGAACAUGUGCAGAGAACAUGUGCUCAAUUACGGGGAUCCCCCGAGAUCUCAAUGUAAAAUGUCGGCAUCAAGUGAAGUGCCUGAAAAUGGUCAUUACUGUCAUUUCCUGUGAAUAAUGCCCCACUUAUAUAAUACGCCCACUGUGCUUCUCGA